rnacentral:rRNA from 1 species
GACGAACGCUGGCGGCGUGCUAAUACAUGCAAGUAGGACGCACAGUUUAUACCGUAGCUUGCUACACCAUAGACUGUGAGUUGCGAACGGGUGAGUAACGCGUAGGUAACCUGCCUAUUAGAGGGGGAUAACUAUUGGAAACGAUAGCUAAUACCGCAUAACAGUAUGUAACACAUGUUAGAUGCUUGAAAGAUGCAAUUGCAUCGCUAGUAGAUGGACCUGCGUUGUAUUAGCUAGUAGGUAGGGUAAAGGCCUACCUAGGCAACGAUACAUAGCCGACCUGAGAGGGUGAUCGGCCACACUGGGACUGAGACACGGCCCAGACUCCUACGGGAGGCAGCAGUAGGGAAUCUUCGGCAAUGGGGGGAACCCUGACCGAGCAACGCCGCGUGAGUGAAGAAGGUUUUCGGAUCGUAAAGCUCUGUUGUUAAGGAAGAACGAGUGUGAGAAUGGAAAGUUCAUACUGUGACGGUACUUAACCAGAAAGGGACGGCUAACUACGUGCCAGCAGCCGCGGUAAUACGUAGGUCCCGAGCGUUGUCCGGAUUUAUUGGGCGUAAAGCGAGCGCAGGCGGUUAGAAAAGUCUGAAGUGAAAGGCAGUGGCUCAACCAUUGUAGGCUUUGGAAACUGUUUAACUUGAGUGCAGAAGGGGAGAGUGGAAUUCCAUGUGUAGCGGUGAAAUGCGUAGAUAUAUGGAGGAACACCGGUGGCGAAAGCGGCUCUCUGGUCUGUAACUGACGCUGAGGCUCGAAAGCGUGGGGAGCGAACAGG